rnacentral:tRNA from 1 species
UGUGUUGUGGCUCAGUGGCGCAGCCAAUGACUCACAUGCUUGAGGCACUGGGUUUGAGUCCCAGCACCACAU